CUUGGGAAGCAUUGGGAUCACCUUUUGCACUAAAUAGACACUCGUUGCCCUCUCGCUCGCCACUCUAUCCAGUGCUGUUUCUUCCAGUACGAAGUAGCUUACAUCCGCAAUGUGAACACCCACCUCAAAGUUCCCGUCAGGGAGUUGUUUACAGGACAAAGCAUCAUCAAGAUCUUUGGCAGUUGAUGGGUCGAUGGUGAAAAUGCAUUCUUUCCUUAAAUCUCUCCUUUUGGCCAUCUCUCCCGGUGAGAUAACCCAGGGCAGGCCUUGGGGAAGACAUUCCAGGGCUUCGGGGGAAAAGUCAGAGAAAUCCACGCCAUACUCCGUCAGGAUUCCUUCUGUUUCCGGCUCGAUCUCCC
rnacentral:lncRNA from 1 species